rnacentral:rRNA from 1 species
UGGGGAAUAUUGCACAAUGGGCGCAAGCCUGAUGCGGCCAUGCCGCGUGUAUGAAGAAGGCCUUCGGGUUGUAAAGUACUUUCAGUCGGGAGGAAGGUGGUAAGGUUAAUAACCUUAUCAAUUGACGUUACCGACAGAAGAAGCACCGGCUAACUCCGUGCCAGCAGCCGCGGUAAUACGGAGGGUGCAAGCGUUAAUCGGAAUUACUGGGCGUAAAGCGCACGCAGGCGGUUUGUUAAGUCAGAUGUGAAAUCCCCGGGCUCAACCUGGGAACUGCAUCUGAUACUGGCAAGCUUGAGUCUCGUAGAGGGGGGUAGAAUUCCAGGUGUAGCGGUGAAAUGCGUAGAGAUCUGGAGGAAUACCGGUGGCGAAGGCGGCCCCCUGGACGAAGACUGACGCUCAGGUGCGAAAGCGUGGGGAGCAAACAGG